rnacentral:rRNA from 1 species
AGGGAUCAUUACUGAGUUUACGCUCUACAACCCUUUGUGAACAUACCUAUAACUGUUGCUUCGGCGGGUAGGGUCUCCGCGACCCUCCCGGCCUCCCGCCCCCGGGCGGGUCGGCGCCCGCCGGAGGAUAACCAAACUCUGAUUUAACGACGUUUCUUCUGAGUGGUACAAGCAAAUAAUCAAAACUUUUAACAACGGAUCUCUUGGUUCUGGCAUCGAUGAAGAACGCAGCGAAAUGCGAUAAGUAAUGUGAAUUGCAGAAUUCAGUGAAUCAUCGAAUCUUUGAACGCACAUUGCGCCCGCCAGCAUUCUGGCGGGCAUGCCUGUUCGAGCGUCAUUUCAACCCUCAAGCUCUGCUUGGUGUUGGGGCCCUACAGCUGAUGUAGGCCCUCAAAGGUAGUGGCGGACCCUCCCGGAGCCUCCUUUGCGUAGUAACUUUACGUCUCGCACUGGGAUCCGGAGGGACUCUUGCCGUAAAACCCCCAAUUUUCCAAAAGGUUGACCUCGGAUCAGGUAGGAAUACCCGCUGAACUUAA